rnacentral:misc_RNA from 1 species
UUUCCGUAGGUGAACCUGCGGAAGGAUCAUUCAUAAUAAAGUGUUUUAUGGCACUUUUUAAAAAUCCAUAUCCACCUUGUGUGCAAUGUUAGAUCUCGUCAAUCUUGGCGAGAUUUUUAUACAUCAACUCAUUCUUUAACUAAUUUGUCUGAAAAAUAUUAUGAAUACUUAAUUCAAAAUACAACUAUCAACAACGGAUCUCUUGGCUCUC